ACCAUAUAAUAGGCCAUUUUACAAUGUUUCGCUGGUGGCUCCGAGGUGACGCCACGGAAAAUUAACAUAAGCCUUCUCGUUUUGAUGCUGUUGUGAAGAGCUCCGAGAAAUAACCAACAGGCAACAGCUAGAAGGUUGUUGUACUAGCUCGUUCUGGUGUUGAGAUCAAGGCAUCCCCAUACUUGUACAGAUGCAAAUGGCUGACCAGCGGAGAGGCCACCGUGUACAAUCGCAAGGACCCGGUGAUAUCGAAGACGGGCGUGCUACUGCAGAGCCUCGUCAAGAAACAGGGUGGUGUGGCACUGGCAUGAUGGCACGGAGCUCAGCGGCCGAAAACCAGAGCAGAACCGUCGCGCUCGUGGUUGUGAUAAUUGGCUUGUGUUGCUUCUUCUACCUGCUGGGUGCGUGGCAAGCAAAGCGUUUUGGCAGGGGGGACUGCAUAGCAGAAAGGGUGAAUGCGCAGUGUGUGGUUCUGCGGGGUCUUCACGUCGAGACUCAUCUCGUGCUGGGCAACAAGCCCACCUGGAGAUGACUAUGUUCGGUGUCACAUUUGUUAUGCUGACUAAUUUAGGGAUGAUACAUAUGCCAAUUGCCAUUUGAGUAUGA